rnacentral:lncRNA from 1 species
UUCUACUGAAUUAGUAAGUUGCAGUCUCUCCAAAUUCAGAAAGAAGCAAGAAUGAAAUGCUAGCAUAUAUCUGAAAAAAAGAAUACUUCAAAAUAGAUGGCAGUACUAAUGAAGAGCUCAACUAUACCAUAGAAUCCAGCAAGCUAUGAUCUAUCCCACUGAAGCUGUACUUUGACUGCAGUGACAUUCUGCUUAAACUCAGAAAUAUUGAGUCUCCCUCCCAGUACUAUCAUAAUGAACAAAGAAUUAAAGAAAUCCAGUAUCUCCAGUAAGGACCUACAAUUUUAUAUUCACACAAUGGUGUUCAAGUCCCAUAGAUUCAGGCAGGGGAGAAUAACAUACAAGCAUGAGAAGGGCAACUUGUCUCAUCUUUCUUUGAAAGCUGGAAUGUGAUUUCCAAUAAUAGAGGGUCUCCUACUGUUAUGAGAUAUCUGCAAGCAGUUGUCUACUCAAUGCAUUGACUGUCUUUUAAACUGUUAUUCAAGGCCAGG